GCAUAUCAAUAAGCGGAGGAAAAGAAACCAACAGGGAUUGCCUCAGUAACGGCGAGUGAAGCGGCAACAGCUCAAAUUUGAAAUCUGGCCCUAGGCCCGAGUUGUAAUUUGCAGAGGAUGCUUUUGGUGCGGUGCCUUCCAAGUUCCCUAGAACGGGACGCCAGAGAGGGUGAGAGCCCCGUACAGUUGGACACCAAGCCUUUGUAAAGCUCCUUCGACGAGUCGAGUAGUUUGGGAAUGCUGCUCAAAAUGGGAGGUAUAUUUCUUCUAAAGCUAAAUACCGGCCAGAGACCGAUAGCGCACAAGUAGAGUGAUCGAAAGAUGAAAAGCACUUUGAAAAGAGGGUUAAACAGCACGUGAAAUUGUUAAAAGGGAAGCGCUUGUGACCAGACUUGCGUCCGGUGAAUCACCCAGCUCUCGCGGCUGGGGCACUUCGCCGGCUCAGGCCAGCAUCAGCUCGCUGUCGGGGACAAAAGCUUCAGGAACGUAGCUCUCUUCGGGGAGUGUUAUAGCCUGUUGCAUAAUACCCUUCGGCGGGCUGAGGUACGCGCUCCGCAAGGAUGCUGGCAUAAUGGUCAUCAGCGACCCGUCUUGAAACACGGACCAAGGAGUCAACCUUAUGUGCGAGUGUUCGGGUGUCAAACCCCUACGCGUAAUGAAAGUGAACGCAGGUGAGAGCUUCGGCGCAUCAUCGACCGAUCCUGAUGUUCUCGGAUGGAUUUGAGUAAGAGCAUAUAGGGUUGGACCCGAAAGAAGGUGAACUAUGCGUGUAUAGGGUGAAGCCAGAGGAAACUCUGGUGGAGGCUCGCAGCGGUUCUGACGUGCAAAUCGAUCGUCAAAUAUGCGCAUGGGGGCGAAAGACUAAUCGAACCUUCUAGUAGCUGGUUUCC
rnacentral:rRNA from 1 species